rnacentral:rRNA from 1 species
ACUCGAGUGGCGAACGGGUGAGUAACACGUGGGUGAUCUGCCCUGCACUUCGGGAUAAGCCUGGGAAACUGGGUCUAAUACCGGAUAGGAGCCAUUUUUAGUGUGAUGGUUGGAAAGUUUUUCGGUGUAGGAUGGGCUCGCGGCCUAUCAGCUUGUUGGUGGGGUAAUGGCCUACCAAGGCGGCGACGGGUAGCCGGCCUGAGAGGGUGGACGGCCACAUUGGGACUGAGAUACGGCCCAG